rnacentral:rRNA from 1 species
AUACGGAGGAUCCGAGUGUUAUCCGGAUUUAUUGGGUUUAAAGGGAGCGUAGGCGGACGCUUAAGUCAGUUGUGAAAGUUUGCGGCUCAACCGUAAAAUUGCAGUUGAUACUGGGUGUCUUGAGUACAGUAGAGGCAGGCGGGAUUCUUGGUGGAGCGGGGAAAUGCUUAGAUAUCACGAAGAACUCCGAUUGCGAAGGCAGCCUGCUGGACUGUAACUGACGCUGAUGCUCGAAAGUGUGGGUAUCAAACAGGAUUAGAUACCCUGGUAGUCCACACAGUAAACGAUGAAUACUCGCUGUUUGCGAUAUACAGUAAGCGGCCAAGCGAACGCGUUAAGUAUUCCACCUGGGGAGUACGCCGGCAACGGUGAAACUCAAAGGAAUUGACGGGG